rnacentral:lncRNA from 1 species
GAUACAUUGAACCCUACUCUGUACUCCUUAUCCGGCUCGGUUUCGCUCACGCACCCCGUCACCUCCAGCCACGACACCUGGUACAGCUCUGCCGCCUCCCUGCACCCACCAAUACAAUAUGGAGUAAUAACCAAAACCCUACCCUUAUAUUAAUUAUACAUCUACCUACUCACCCCUCCUUCUCUGGCACGUUCCAGUAUCGAUUGUCUUUGCCCCAGAUGAUGCUCAGAUCUUUGGGUUCGAUUUGCUUCCUCUCAUCACCGGCUAGCUGUGAGGCACCA